rnacentral:rRNA from 1 species
GACGAACGCUGGCGGCGUGCUUAACACAUGCAAGUCGAACGGAAAGGCCCUGCUUUUGUGGGGUGCUCGAGUGGCGAACGGGUGAGUAACAAGUGAGUAACCUGCCCUUGACUUUGGGAUAACUUCAGGAAACUGGGGCUAAUUCCGGAUAGGAGCUCCUGCUGCAUGGUGGGGGGUGGAAAGUUUCGGCGGUUGGGGAUGGACUCGCGGCGUAUCAGCUUGUUGGUGGGGUAGUGGCUUACCAAGGCUUUGACGGGUAGCCGGCCUGUGUGGGUGACCGGCCACAUUGGGCCUGAGGUAGGGCCCAGACUCCUACGGGCGGCAGCAGUGGGGAAUAUUGCACAAUGGGCGGAAGCCUGAUGCAGCAACGCCGCGUGCGGGAUGACGGCCUUCUGGUUGUAAACCGCUUUCGCCUGUGACGAAGCGUGAGUGACGGUAAUGGGUAAAGAAGCACCGGCUAACUACGUG